rnacentral:rRNA from 1 species
CUGCUGCCUUCCGUAGGAGUUUGGGCCGUGUCUCAGUCCCAAUGUGGCCGUCCACCCUCUCAGGCCGGCUACUGAUCGUCGCCUUGGUGGGCCGUUACCCUGCCAACAAGCUAAUCAGACGCGGGUCCAUCUUACACCACCGGAGUUUUUCACACAAAUCCAUGCGGCUUCGUGCGCUUAUGCGGUAUUAGCACCUAUUUCUAAGUGUUAUCCCCCAGUGUAAGGCAGGUUACCCACGCGUUACUCACCCGUCCGCCACUAAG